GUUCUUUGUUCGAUCACCUAUUCACCUCGUCUCUUGCUUGCUCGCUUGCCUGCUGCCGCUUGCUAAAGCCGAAAUCAGACUAGAGAUCGAGAUUGAAUUAGAAUUUGAUCAUUUAAAGCAAUGUUAACUAAACUUGAAAUUAGUUUUCUUCCGAUUGAUUAAAUUCCAAUACAAUCUCGAUCUCAAUCUCAUGUCUGAUUACGACUUGACGAUUGUUGCGUCGCCAUUGCUGCUGCCGCUGCUUUCGCCGGUGUCCUUACGUUUUGCUUUUUAUUUGUUUUCGUGUGCAAUAUCCGCAAUAUCAGAACUGCAUAAAAUAUCGGGCGGCUUAAUGUACAGUUCGAGGAGAUCGGGAAUGCGUUCGGAAUGAACGUCCGAGCGCACCCAGAUAUUUUAUCUUCGUUUACCGAAUGUUAAACAAGGAUAGAAUGAUAUCUGGGUGUAUUCGGACGUUCAUUCCGAACCCUGCUCUUCUCGAACUGUACAUUAAAUCGCCUGAUAUUUUAUUUUCACGCGAUCGUAAUUACUAUUUUGAGUUUUAAAUUCGUGAGUGCCAUACGAAGAGUGUGACAUAUGUAUAAAGAGUGCCAUGCGAAGUAUUGCGCGAUCCUGAAGAAAGAAAACUUUCCAGUUAACAUUGCUUUAAUUGGUCAAAUUAAAGUAUUGUGGAACGAGAAAAUUGCAGCAAGAUGGCAGCCUUCAUCGGAACGACUCGAAUCAAUUGAAGAGGGAUUAUAGCAGCAGCAGUAGCAGCAACAAUCGAUUAAUGCAGUCUGCUGUUAUGCAUCUGUGUGGAAGGACGAGAAGAGAAGCGAGGGAAGAGAGCGGGAAAAUCGAAAUGGAGAAGAGGAGAUACCAGGGUAAAUAGGUAGAUAGAUGCAUAAAUGGUUAGUCAAGAAGAGAAUAUGCAGAAAGCUCAGAGGAAUAGACGGAAAUGGAGAGAUCGCACAUCGAGGUGAACCUUCGUCUACGACGCUCUCUCGCCGACGCGUAUACGAACGCUGAGGUACGUGUAGCACUUUUGAUUACACACUUGAUUAUUCUCGCUUGCAUUUAUCUGCCCGCCGGCUUUGGCGCCUCGAGCGCAAUAAAAUCGAGUUCAGGCGUCGCACGGGAAGAACACGGAAAAAAAAUAUGGUCAAAACUAAUAUUGCAGUGCAUUUUUGUCUAAUUAAUAUUUAACAUUAAAAUAAAUUAAAAUACACAUGCAAAUCGUAAAAUACAUGCAAAUUAUGUGUAAAAUAUAAAUCACAUUAUGAUCGUAUAAGCGCUACAAUAUUAUUUAAUAUUAAAUAAUAUUUGUG
rnacentral:lncRNA from 13 species